CUGCAGUCGAACGGUAGCAGGAAGUGCUUGCACUUNGCUGACGAGUGGCGGACGGGUGAGUAAUGCUUGGGAACUUGCCUUUGCGAGGGGGAUAACAGUUGGAAACGACUGCUAAUACCGCAUAAUGUCUACGGACCAAACGGGGCUUAGGCUUCGGCGCAGAGAGAGGCCCAAGUGAGAUUAGCUAGUUGGUGGGGUAAAGGCUCACCAAGGCGACGAUCUCUAGCUGUUCUGAGAGGAAGAUCAGCCACACUGGGACUGAGACACGGCCCAGACUCCUACGGGAGGCAGCAGUGGGGAAUAUUGCACAAUGGGGGGAACCCUGAUGCAGCCAUGCCGCGUGUGUGAAGAAGGCCUUCGGGUUGUAAAGCACUUUCAGUUGUGAGGAAAAGUGAGUAGUUAAUACCUGCUCACCGUGACGUUAACAACAGAAGAAGCACCGGCUAACUCCGUGCCAGCAGCCGCGGUAAUACGGAGGGUGCGAGCGUUAAUCGGAAUUACUGGGCGUAAAGCGCACGCAGGCGGUUUGUUAAGCUAGAUGUGAAAGCCCCGAGCUCAACUUGGGAUGGUCAUUUAGAACUGGCAGACUAGAGUCUUGGAGAGGGGAGUGGAAUUCCAGGUGUAGCGGUGAAAUGCGUAGAUAUCUGGAGGAACAUCAGUGGCGAAGGCGACUCCCUGGCCAAAGACUGACGCUCAUGUGCGAAAGUGUGGGUAGCGAACAGGAUUAGAUACCCUGGUAGUCCACACCGUAAACGCUGUCUACUAGCUGUUUGUGGCUUUAAGCCGUGAGUAGCGAAGCUAACGCGAUAAGUAGACCGCCUGGGGAGUACGGCCGCAAGGUUAAAACUCAAAUGAAUUGACGGGGGCCCGCACAAGCGGUGGAGCAUGUGGUUUAAUUCGAUGCAACGCGAAGAACCUUACCUACACUUGACAUGCAGAGAACUUUCCAGAGAUGGAUUGGUGCCUUCGG
rnacentral:rRNA from 1 species